GAAGAUGAUGUCUGCGGCCACCAAACUGUCCACUGUGAAGAUAAACCAUGCAUGUUUAGUAGGCAGUGGCUCCUCUUCCCUGUGGGGAGUCCCACUGCUUCCCUGGCCUGGGUGUUCUCUGCCGUGCCUUUGGACACUUCUUCGGAAAAGCACACGAACUCUUUGGAGUCUCCUGUUCCACUUGGUAAAUUUCCUAUAGCCACGCACUGAAAGUCCCUGCUGCCCUCCUUCCUCUGAGCUUGUGGGGCCCACAGAUCCCCUGCUCCACUUCCUGCUUCAUUUCAGCUGCUGGAUGACACUCCCUCGUUCUAAUACCAUCUGAAUGCCUGAGCAAUUACAUCUUACAACCUCAUGAAAAACACAGCAGCUUGUCAUGAUGAAUGAUGUUACCGUGAAUAAUGCAGUUUUGAGUUCAAACUCCUUCUUAUUCCAAGAAUGAGUAAAUAUCCCUAUUCCCUCCUCUCCCCAUUGCAUUUGGGUUUGACAUGACAUGAAUCAUUGUGGUUUUACUCCUGGGUAGAAUUGUUUUUCUGUAUUGCAUUGCCAAUUGAUGGAAGGACAGAAAAAGGAACCUUACCAAUGAGCAGUUUCAGAUGAACUUAAAUUCUCAGAAAUCUUGAAGAAUGAAUGAACUAUAACUUUUUGAAGUUGCAAAAAUGUUCAAGUCG
rnacentral:antisense_RNA from 1 species